rnacentral:rRNA from 1 species
CACGUAGGCUGCUUGAUAAGUGGAUGGUGAAAGCCCCCGGCCCAACCGGGGAAUGGCUAUCCAAACUAUCAGGCUUGAGUUUCGGAGGGGUGAGUGGAAUUCCUGGUGGAGCGGUGGAAUGCGUAGAUAUCAGGAGGAACGCCGGUGGCGAAAGCGACUCACUGGUCGAAAACUGACGCUGAGGUGCGAAAGCUAGGGGAGCGAACAGGAUUAGAUACCCUGGUAGUCC